rnacentral:rRNA from 1 species
UACGUAGGCAGCAAGCGUUGUUCGGAAUUAUUGGGCGUAAAGCGCGUGUAGGCGGCAGUGCAAGUCGGGUGUGAAAGCCCUCAGCUCAACUGAGGAAGUGCGCCCGAAACUGCAUUGCUUGAGUACCGGAGAGGAUGGCGGAAUUCCCGAAGUAGAGGUGAAAUUCGUAGAUAUCGGGAGGAACACCGGUGGCGAAGGCGGCCAUCUGGACGGAUACUGACGCUGAGACGCGAAAGCGUGGGUAGCAAACAGG